rnacentral:rRNA from 1 species
GACGAACGCUGGCGGCGUGCUUAACACAUGCAAGUCGAGCGGAAAGGCCCUGCUUUUGUGGGGUGCUCGAGUGGCGAACGGGUGAGUAACACGUGAGUAACCUGCCCUUGACUUUGGGAUAACUUCAGGAAACUGGGGCUAAUACCGGCUAGGAGCUCCUGCUGCAUGGUGGGGGUUGGAAAGUUUCGGCGGUUGGGGAUGGACUCGCGGCUUAUCAGCUUGUUGGUGGGGUAGUGGCUUACCAAGGCUUUGACGGGUAGCCGGCCUGAGAGGGUGACCGGCCACAUUGGGACUGAGAUACGGCCCAGACUCCUACGGGAGGCAGCAGUGGGGAAUAUUGCACAAUGGGCGGAAGCCUGAUGCAGCAACGCCGCGUGCGGGAUGACGGCCUUCGGGUUGUAAACCGCUUUCGCCUGUGACGAAGCGUGAGUGACGGUAAUGGGUAAAGAAGCACCGGCUAACUACGUG